AUACGUAGGUGGCAAGCGUUGUCCGGAAUUAUUGGGCGUAAAGCGCGCGCAGGCGGUCCUUUAAGUCUGAUGUGAAAGCCCACGGCUCAACCGUGGAGGGUCAUUGGAAACUGGGGGACUUGGGUGCAGAAGAGGAAAGUGGAAUUCCAAGUGUAGCGGUGAAAUGCGUAGAGAUUUGGAGGAACACCAGUGGCGAAGGCGACUUUCUGGUCUGUAACGGACGCUGAGGCGCGAAAGCGUGGGGAGCAAACAGGAUUAGAUACCCUGGUAGUCCACGCCGUAAACGAUGAGUGCUAAGUGUUAGGGGGUUUCCGCCCCUUAGUGCUGCAGCUAACGCAUUAAGCACUCCGCCUGGGGAGUACGGUCGCAAGACUGAAACUCAAAGGAAUUGACGGGG
rnacentral:rRNA from 1 species